rnacentral:tRNA from 1 species
UGGCUUAGCUGGUAAAGAAUCUGCCUGCAAUGCGGGAGACCUGGGUUCAAUCCCCAG